UACAGAGGUCCCCAAGCGUUUGUUCGGAUUCAUUGGGCGUAAAGGGUGCGUAGGCGGCGCGGUAAGUCGGGUGUGAAAUCUCGGAGCUUAACUCCGAAACUGCAUUCGAUACUGCCGUGCUUGAGGACUGGAGAGGAGACUGGAAUUUACGGUGUAGCGGUGAAAUGCGUAGAUAUCGUAAGGAAGACCAGUGGCGAAGGCGGGUCUCUGGACAGUUCCUGACGCUGAGGCACGAAGGCCAGGGGAGCAAACGGG
rnacentral:rRNA from 1 species